AGAUUGGUCCCUUACUUCCUGUGCCUGGUAUUUUCCUUUCUUAUUUUAUGCCUUUUGUUGUGUUCCAUUUUUAAGAUCUUUUAAAGAAAGGAAACAGGAAAAAUUUCCACCUCCUAUUCUGAAAGCGACUUUAAUUUGACUGGUAUGAAUUGUGGCUUAAGAUGCGAGGGCUACAGGCAGGGUCCUGCUGCCUCCCUUGGCCAUGAGGACCGUGGGGCUUCUCAUUCCCGUCCUUCCCUCCUAAGCUUUUCUGACAGUGGAAGCCUAUGUAUGGUGCUCUGCUUUCUGGGCUGGUAUUUAUUCUUUGAUUAGGCUAUUUAGAAAGAUUCAGGUUUUAAAAAAUAUAUUGUUUUUCAAGACAGGGUUUCUUGGUUUAGCCCUGGCUGUCCUGGAACUCACUUUGUAGACCGGGUGUCCUCAAACACAACAGACAUUGCCUGCCCCUGCCUCUGCCUCCGGAGUGUUGGGAUUAAAGCUGUGUGCCACUUUAUGUGACAGAUUCAGGCUUUUAUCUGCCUAGUAACCCCUCUCUGCCAUUUUAUCAUCUCAGGAACUUGUGCUUUCCCACAGUUACAGUGUCCUGAUGUUUCCUGGAUGGGAAUGUUCAAGGAUACAGUAUAUCAUGGCAGGAAAUUCGCAGCGACAGGAGCUGGAGGCACACUCACGUUGCAGAGACAGCUGGGAAGCAGAUGCAGAACUCAGCUCAUCUACAGCAGAUGUCCUCAAGUGUGCCAUCAUGCUUCUGCUCGGACGAGAGUGGACUAACCCUCUGAACUGUAAGCCAGCCCCAAUAAAACGUUUUCCU